AUUGAACGCUGGCGGCAUGCCUUACACAUGCAAGUCGAACGGCAGCGGGGACUUCGGUCCGCCGGCGAGUGGCGAACGGGUGAGUAAUGUAUCGGAACGUACCAUUCAGUGGGGGAUAACUAUCCGAAAGGAUAGCUAAUACCGCAUAUUCUGUGAGCAGGAAAGCAGGGGAUCGCAAGACCUUGCGCUGAUUGAGCGGCCGAUAUCAGAUUAGCUAGUUGGUGAGGUAACGGCGCACCAAGGCUACGAUCUGUAGCGGGUCUGAGAGGAUGAUCCGCCACACUGGGAUUGAGACACGGCCCAGACUCCUACGGGAGGCAGCAGUGGGGAAUUUUGGACAAUGGGCGCAAGCCUGAUCCAGCCAUGCCGCGUGAGUGAAGAAGGCCUUCGGGUUGUAAAGCUCUUUCGGCCGGGAAGAAAUCGCAUCAGCUAAUACCUGGUGUGGAUGACGGUACCGGAAUAAGAAGCACCGGCUAACUACGUGCCAGCCGCCGCCGUAAGAC
rnacentral:rRNA from 1 species